CCAAUUUGAGUUAAGGGUGAUAUUUAUAUAUAAGAUGACUUUCCAAAGACAAAUUUAUUUUGGUGUUUGAAAUAGGCCACUCACUCUCAUGCAGGUAGAAACUGAAGGUCAAAGAAUAAAUAUGAGAAGGAGGUUUCCCAUCAAGGGAGCUCUUUUUCUGAUGGAUGACUAAGCCCUGACAAAUGCUUAGAAAUAGGCAAGAGGUGAUGAACGCUGCUGUACAUUCAGGGGUCACUGAAACACCCAGCAUAUUUCCAAGAGUCUAAACAAGAACUGUUGACUAAUGACCUCCAUUGAACUUUCUCCUCGAGAUCCAAAGUUACAUCUGUCCUUCCUACUUCUCCUUAGAAGAACCAGCUUUCCCAAGAUUCAAGAAGAAAACUACUAAGAUCCAAGAAGAAAAUGAUAGGCUGGGAGGUAGUUGAGUGAGACAUUUUUUGUACCUUUAGGUGCUGAAAACUCAGCCUCUUUUGAGGAGUCGCUAGAUCCUCCUGGAUCCUGGGAGGGCCAAACCAGCCCAUGUGUCCUAUCAAGAUUCACAGCAAGUGGUCUUGUCCUUCCUGGGCUUUCUGAGCUGUGGGAAGAGUUCAGAUGACCCAUAUGGGCUGGAGGAGCCUGUUCUUUGGGAGGGUUUCUGCAGACAGUUUGAAAUGACUCUGAAGAACUGGUUCAAGGCCAUGUUUUGUUUUUUAGAGGGAUGCUUAUAUGCAAUCAAACUAAUCCCAGUGAAAAUGAAAUCACAGUUAGGAGAAGAAGAAGGGACCAGAAUAGUUCAUGACUUGCCCUACUCCUUACUCUUCUGAUGUAAACAAUAUGAAAAUGCAAUUAUUUCACUAAGGAAAGCUCUUCAAGGUACAGUUCCUUUAAUAAUCAGUUCUGCUGGUGAGGGAACAAAAAAAAUCUCUGUACUUCCUCAAUGGAUUUUAAAUAUAUCAGUAACUCUUUUUGCCCCACUCCCUAUCAUCCAAAUUUAAACUAACCAAAGAAUUUGUGGGUAUAAAAUUACUGUCCUGGGUGGAGGAACUCCUCCACAGAAUAGCGACGUGCUUUUAUAGCAAAAGAAGAUCACGGAGUCUUUAGUAUCCUUGCUGAUUUAUUAAAAAAAAAAUUUUGUAUUGGGGGGUUGGGGGCCGAAGUUAAAGAUAUAUUUUACUCUUUGCAGUUCUACAAUUUCAUUCCCGGUAAAAGCAAAGUGAAUCAGACUGAGUUGUCAAAUGAAAAGUAAACUUUAUGGCCUCUAGCAAUCAGAAUAAUUUAAUUAGUUUUAUUGGCUCUUAAAGCCUUUCACCUUAUUUAUUGGUUUUUCAGCUUUCUUCUCAUUUUCAAUUAGGCUUUAAAACAACAAAUGCAAAAUCAUUCACUAAAUUCAGGAUAAUUAAAACAAUAUUGUGUUUUCAGUUUGGAAACAUGGUAGAAUGCAUUUCAUCUGGGUACACUUCGGAGAGGUUAAAGUGACAGAGCAGAUAAAAAGGACACUUAAUACACGCGUAAAUCAUUUGCAUUACAAAUAAGAUACUUCAGCAGACGUUGGACUCCCUGCCUGACAGUCAGGAUUAAGUUCCCAUAUUAAUGCAUGCAUUUGGUGUGGUUAUUUUGGGUGGAAGACUUCAUCCAUCAAUGCCCUCUGCCACUAAGUAAGGCCAACCUGUAAACUGAUCACCACAGCCUGUCAACACUGGUUACUUAAUUAUAUAAAGAAAAUAUAUUUAAAAGACUUUUGAUAAUUUGGUUAGUAUUUCAACUUUGCGUUCAACAUGUAACAUCUUUUUCAAGGUUCUUCAAAAUAAUGGUUAAAGCAUUUUUAAGAAUUAAAAAAUGAAAACUA